UAUUCUUCUUCUUCUGGGUCGCAUAGAUACAAAAAGAAAGGGGGGCACGAUACACGAUAGACUCUCCACCGAUCAUCACUGCAUUCUCCAAUCUUCUGCCAAUCCCUCCCUCCCUUGUCUCUUAUCGAUUUGAAAUUUUCUUAUCCGAAACCCUAAGGGUUUAUUAUACAAGUUUCGCUGCUACCGUGUGUUGUUGUGUUCAGUGUUCACGCUGCUGUGAGACAUUCGUUAUUGUGUAUGUUUUAUGUGCGUUCUUCUGGCUGUGUCGUCGGCGGAGAGAUGCGUCAAUUAGGUGUCAUUGGUGAAUAACCGAUUGAUAAAUGAAUCUACAAUCUUCUUCUUGUCCUCGUUUCGAUUUGUCCCACGCUUAUGUGUCUCGUCGUAUGUUAUGUCCGUGCUCUAAAUUAGAGCACGGCGGCCUGAUUGUGUUUUGCGAUGGAUUCGCGAAGAGACGGGUCCUCCGUCGGAAGUUCAGAGUUCAUUCUAAUUCGAAUUUGAGGUUUGUUACCAGCGGAAUUCGCAGUAGCGAUACGAAGAACAUAAAAUUAGCGGAUUCAGCGAGAAGAGCUUCAAGAAGUCUUGUGGUCACUCGUUUCUCCAAUGAAUUCGAGGAUGAAGAAGAAUCGUCGCAGGAGUCUGUAAUUAAGGGUAACCAAACCAAUUUCACUAGCUUUAGAGAAGACCCGAUUGUGGAUAAGCUCAGGACUCAGCUAGGUACAAUCCAUCCACUCCCAUCACCACCUAUUAGUCGUGAUGCGAUUGGUUUGUUCGCGUUCUUCUUCUUUGUUGGUGUUCUUUGUGACAAGCUAUGGACAUGGAGAAAGAGGCGGAGACAGAUGAGCAAUGACGUAGGCCAAAGAGGACAAGGGACAUGGCCACAGGUUCCAACUAGCUUCUCUCUGUCACUUGAGAAAGAUUUACAAAGGAAAGAGUCUGUGGAGUGGGUUAACAUGGUGGUGGUGAAGCUUUGGAAAGUUUAUAGAGGUGGGAUUGAGAAUUGGCUUGUUGGAUUGUUGCAACCAGUUAUUGAUGAUUUGAAGAAGCCAGAUUAUGUGCAGAGAGUUGAGAUCAAGCAGUUCUCUCUUGGGGAUGAGCCUUUGUCUGUUAGAAAUGUUGAGAGGAGGACAUCUCGCCGUGUCAAUGACUUGCAGUACCAGAUUGGUCUUCGGUAUACUGGUGGUGCUCGGAUGUUGUUAAAGCUCUCUUUAAAAUUUGGUAUUAUUCCAGUAGUCGUGCCAGUCGGCAUUCGGGAUUUUGACAUUGACGGUGAGCUAUGGGUUAAAUUAAGAUUGAUUCCCUCUGCGCCUUGGGUUGGAGCAGCAUCAUGGGCUUUUGUAUCACUUCCAAAGAUCAAAUUUGAGCUUGCACCAUUCCGAUUGUUUAAUGUAAUGGGAAUUCCUCUUUUAUCAAUGUUCUUGACCAAACUGCUGACAGAAGAUUUGCCUCGAUUAUUUGUCCGCCCAAAGAAAAUUGUCUUGGAUUUCCAGAAAGGAAAAGCUGUUGGGCCUGUUUCAGAAGACUUAAAAUCGGGAGAAAUGCAGGAAGGGAACAAGGAUUUUAUUGGGGAACUGUCUGUUACUCUUGUAAAUGCCCAGAAACUUCCAUACAUGUUCUCUGGUAGAACAGAUCCAUAUGUUAUUUUACGAAUAGGUGAUCAAGUUAUCCGCAGUAAAAAGAACAGUCAAACUACAGUGUUUGGGGCUCCUGGUCAGCCAAUCUGGAAUCAGGAUUUCCAAUUCCUUGUUUCAAAUCCUAGAGAGCAAGUGUUACAAAUUGAAGUCAACGACUGUCUUGGAUUUGCCGAUAUGGCUAUUGGUAGCGGAGAGGUUGACCUUGAAUCACUGCCAGAUACUGUUCCUACAGACAAAAUUGUUAGUUUGCGAGGUGGUUGGAGUUUGUUCGGAAAGGGAUCUGCUGGAGAAAUACUACUCCGGCUUACAUACAAAGCAUACGUGGAGGAUGAAGAAGAUGAUAAACGCAACGCAAAAGCCACUUAUGCAGAUGCUUCUGAUGAUGAAAUGUCUGAUUCGGAAGAACCUAGGUCAUUCGUACAGAAUGACAAGAUUCCUUCUGAUGAUAUUAAUCAAGAGUCAUUUAUGAACGUGCUGUCUGCAUUGAUUUUGAGUGAGGAGUUUCAAGGCAUAGUUUCAUCAGAAGCUGGGAACAAUAAACUUGAUGAUGGUGAAUCAAGCGUGACACCAGUUCCUUCAAAGGCUGGGGCGGACUCAAAAUCUCGACCGAAAGAUCCUGCCAGUGGGGACAUAUCAGAUUUAGAAGUGAAAAAUGCGGAUGCCGAUAGAGGUUCUAUUGGUGAUGGAGGAUUAGCAUUGUUGUGGUUCAGUGUAAUCACUUCUGUACUGGCGCUCGUUGCUAUCAAUAUGGGCGGCUCGAGUUUCUUCAACCCGUAACAUGGUGUUGUAUGGAUCACUAGCGAUUUAUUUUGCCAAAUUUUGUUCCUGUUGUUGGAUACAGCAACUGUAAUAUUCUGCCAUUGGUAUGCUUUUUGGAGCAGCAGCAAAAGGUUAAAUGGGGAUAUCGAUGCGCAGUCUAAACAAGGGCUUUAAACAACAAGCCAAAGGCGCAGGAAGUCUCCAUGUCAUUGUCUUGUUGAGAAGAUGUCUUUUCAAUGUUGAGGUAACAUGUUUCCGUUAAAAUUUUACAGAGUACGAUAACAAUAUAUAUAAUACGUCUAAUAAAGAGAAGUCGCGAAAACCAAAAGAUUAUGUUUUUGGAAUAAUUGAUUUUGAUACUGCUCAAAUCAUGGGGUUAUAUAUAUAAUGUUAAACACGAAUGCAACCUACAGAUUAACGUGUUCCAGAUGCAUUACUUAAUUGCACGUUAAGAGGACGAUUAGAUCUGAAGAACUUAUGCAAAUCAAAGAACAUUAACAAAAGUAAACCAGUUUUAUAAAAUAAAAACGAGAUCGUUGGUGCUUUAAAUAAUGAGAU